rnacentral:rRNA from 1 species
UACGAAGGGGGCUAGCGUUGCUCGGAAUCACUGGGCGUAAAGCGCACGUAGGCGGAUUGUUAAGUCAGGGGUGAAAUCCUGGAGCUCAACUCCAGAACUGCCUUUGAUACUGGCGAUCUCGAGUCCGGGAGAGGUGAGUGGAACUGCGAGUGUAGAGGUGAAAUUCGUAGAUAUUCGCAAGAACACCAGUGGCGAAGGCGGCUCACUGGCCAGGUACUGACGCUGAGGUGCGAAAGCGUGGGGAGCAAACAGG